rnacentral:rRNA from 1 species
AAACUGGGAUUAGAUACCCCACUAUGCCUGACUGUAAAUUACAAGCCAAAAAAGUACGAGCCACGCUUUAAACUUAAAGGACCUGGCGGUACUCUACAUCGACCUAGAGGGGUCUGUCCUAUAAUCGACAAUCCGCGAAAAACCCAACCAUCUCUUGCCAUCCAGCCUAUAUACCGCCGUCUCCAGCACAUUUUCCAAGAAAUGAAGCAAAACAGUCCCACACACUAGCACGUCAGGUCAAGGUGUAGCCCAUGAGAUGGAAGAGGCGGACCACAAUGCCGCAACACACAGAAACCACAUUGAAACAUGUGGCGGAAGAAGAAUUUAGCAGUAAGAGGGGCCGAAUGCCCCUCUGAACCCUGCCCUAGAGUACGCACACACCGCCCCUCACCCU